CCGGUUGGUGCAUGGCCAGGGCAGUCCCCGUGCAGUCGGGCUGAGAUUUUCUGCCCUUGGAGGGGUGGCAAGCGGGUAACCGAGCCCCUCACUGGGGAGGCUGUUGGGCCCUGUCCCAGCAGGUGGCCAGGGCUCCUUCUCAGCAGGGCUGAGCCCCCUUCCCGGCGGAGCCUUGGGACCAGCACCAGGAAUGGCCAGCACUGGGAGUGCCCCAAAGCCGUGAGGAGCCAGGGCCAGGAGUGGCCCCAAAGCGCAACAGGUAAUCCCCCUGUGUCAGAGUGGGAAGGCAUGGAGAACACCCCACAGAUGUGAAGCAGAGGACAGCCUAAAGUGCUGGCCCAGGAAUAGUGAAGCAUUCCUUUAUGAGGAGACAGAUACAUGGAUGGCUAUACUGGAAUAGACAGCACAGUGCGCAUGACUUAGUGGACUGCAUCGCUCACCCUGAAAGAGCUGCCCACUUUAAGAAGCAUUGCUGCGCUUCCUAUGAGCACUCACACCUUCACGGUACAUGUGCACAUUUCACAGUAUAUAUUCAAUAUUAAAUUUAAAAACAAACUUAGAAGAGAGACAGAAGUGUUCCAGCUUCUAGCUGACAGGCACUUUCCCUAACAAAGCCCUUUCUACAUCCACAUUCCAGUUUACCAACUGGUUUACAAAGUGCCUAUCACCAGAAACAGCUCUUAUUCCUUUAUGCAGUGUCUAUCCUAGCUAACUGUGGGACUACCAAGAUGCAGGACAGCAAGACUGCAAUCAUAAAGUCAUCCAGUUGAUGGGUGAAUUGU